GGAAAUUUGAGAGGAGCUGUCCUUAGUACGAGAGGACCGGGAUGGACAUACCUCUGGUGUACCAGUUGUCGUGCCAACGGCAUAGCUGGGUAGCUAUGUGUGGACGGGAUAAGUGCUGAAAGCAUCUAAGCAUGAAGCCCCCCUCAAGAUGAGAUUUCCCAACUUCGGUUAUAAGAUCCCUCAAAGAUGAUGAGGUUAAUAGGUUCGAGGUGGAAGCAUGGUGACAUGUGGAGCUGACGAAUACUAAUCGAUCGAAGACUUAAUCAAAA
rnacentral:rRNA from 2 species